rnacentral:rRNA from 1 species
UGCCUGGCUUUGGUUGGGUGGGUGAGUGGCGAACGGGUGAGUAACACGUGAGUAACCUGCCCUCUUCUCUUGGAUAACUGCUUGAAAGGGCGGCUAAUACGGGAUGUUCUGGCUGCCUCGCAUGGGGUGGUUUGGAAAGAUUCGGCCUGGUUUUGGUUGUUUUGGUGGGGGAUGGGCUCGCGGCUUAUCAGCUUGUUGGUGGGGUGAUGGCCUACCAAGGCGGUGACGGGUAGCCGGCCUGAGAGGGUGGACGGUCACACUGGGACUGAGACACGGCCCAGACUCC